UACGUAGGCAGCGAGCGUUGUUCGGAGUUACUGGGCGUAAAGGGUGUGUAGGCGGUUCUUUAAGUUUGGUGUGAAAUCCUCCCGGCUCAACCGGGAGGGUGCGCCGAAUACUGAGGAACUAGAGUACGGGAGAGGAAAGUGGAAUUCCUGGUGUAGCGGUGAAAUGCGUAGAUAUCAGGAGGAACACCGGUGGUGUAGACGGCUUUCUGGACCGUAACUGACGCUGGAGAACACGAAAGCCGUGGGUAGCAAACAGG
rnacentral:rRNA from 1 species